GACGAACGCUGGCGGCGUGCUUAACACAUGCAAGUCGAACGGAAAGGCCUGCUUUCCCUUGUGGAUUGCGGGUGCUCGAGUGGCGAACGGGUGAGUAACACGUGAGUGAUCUGCCCCCAACUUGGGUAUAAGCCUGGGAAACUGGGUCUAAUUCCCGAUAGGACUGCAGGGUGGUGCCUGUGGUGGAAAACGAUUUUCUAGUGGUUGGGGAUGAGCUCGCGGCCUAUCAGCUUGUUGGUGGGGUAAUGGCCUACCAAGGCGGCGACGGGUAGCCGGCCUGAGAGGGUGGACGGCCACAUUGGGACUGAGAUACGGCCCAGACUCCUACGGGAGGCAGCAGUGGGGAAUAUUACACAAUGGGCGGAAGCCUGAUGCAGCGACGCCGCGUGGGGGAUGACGGCCUUCGGGUGGUAAACUCCUUUCGACCGCGAGGAAGCCACCUGGUUGGAAGGGUGGUGACGGUAGUGGUAGAAGAAGCACCGGCUAACUACGUG
rnacentral:rRNA from 1 species